CGCUAUUGCAGGUUUCUCUGAUUUUUCCCAAAUCCCUUUCCCUUCUCUUUUUCUAUUUUGGGUUCUUUUCAUGAUUUUUAAUUUUGCAAUUGAAACCUUGCUGAGUUUUGAAAUUGCACGCUUUCCUGGGUGCUCCACCUACUUGUUAAUUUUGCAAUUUCAGGACUGUUAUAUGCUGUAAUACUUAAUAACUCUUCAUUUUAUCACCCAGAUAGUAAGAUAAGUUAAACGGGAGAAGGAGCGCUGACAGACAUAGAGGCGAAGAGGAACUAUAUUAAUCUUAAUUGCUCAUUGGAAAUAUAACAAACUGCUCCUAGAUUCUUUACUGUGAGGGUCAAGAAGUCAAGUGACAAUUUCUCAUCAUCGAAAAGCCAGCGGCAUGUUUGCAGCCCAUAGAGAAUUACAAUUGAAGGCACGAAUUCACGAGGCAAAGGCUUGUUGGAAUUUUGAAUUGGUUGCAAAGCGAGAUACUGAUACCGGAGUGCUUGGACCGCAGUGAGAGUGCUGUCUUCAGCCCACACAGGCGACACGAGGUAGUCCUGCAGACGUCCGCGGGUCUUGGCGUCACCUCCUAUCUUUUCCUUUAUCCUGUUUCCUUUACUC